rnacentral:lncRNA from 1 species
UAAAAUCUAAUUAAUUAGAACCUUGCAAUUAAUUAGACUGAACUUUAAAAUUUCUAAUUUGUGGCAUGAUGACUAGGCAGAUAUUAACCACGUGUGGCAAAAAGACCACAAUACGUGUAAUUUAAAAAUUUGAAAGAAUUGGGAUUUUAUUAAAUCCAUAAUUUCAAACAGAAUGUCUUCUUCGAAGAGACCAUCAUCAUGUUCGUCGUCGAUAAGGAUGCCAUGAUCGCCCUCCUCAACAAGCACCUCACCCCCUCACCCGCUUUAUCAUUUUUACUAUGCCUCUUUUUCCAAAACCCUAUUUUUCCAUCUUCUCCACCGUGUCUUGCGCCUUCAUGUUUUGCAUCUUCUCCGUAGUUGUUUUGAACCCUAAUUUUGCCUUCACCGUUGCUUCAUUUUGCAUUUUGGCAUCUUCUAAAAACACAGAUUAGGUGGAAAACCAUAAAUAAAUAAAUAAAUAUGACCAGAUCCAGAAAGAGAUUGAGAACAUGAAUUGAAUCUUUUUAAACAGGUUUGACAAUUUUGGCAAGAUUUGAAAUUGAAGUUCCACAUACGUUUACUCUUCCUCCUCCACUCUCCACUGCAAUCCAUCGCUUCUCUCCACCAAUACUCAAACUGUCAAAACAAAACAUAAAGAAUCCCAAUCUGCAUCUCAACCUCAAACC